rnacentral:rRNA from 1 species
AUACGGAGGGUGCAAGCGUUAAUCGGAAUUACUGGGCGUAAAGCGCAUGCAGGCGGUUUGUUAAGCGAGAUGUGAAAGCCCCGGGCCCAACCUGGGAACUGCAUUUCGAACUGGCAAACUAGAGUUCUUGAGAGGGUGGUAGAAUUUCAGGUGUAGCGGUGAAAUGCGUAGAGAUCUGAAGGAAUACCAGUGGCGAAGGCGGCCACCUUGCAAGUAACUGACGCUCAGAUGCGAAAGCGUGGGUAGCAAACGGGAUUAGAAACCCCAGUAGUCC